GACGAACGCUGGCGGCGUGCUUAACACAUGCAAGUCGAACGGAAAGGCCCUGCUUGCCGGGUACUCGAGUGGCGAACGGGUGAGUAACACGUGGGUGAUCUGCCCUGCACUUCGGGAUAAGCCUGGGAAACUGGGUCUAAUACCGGAUAGGAGCCAUUUUUAGUGUGAUGGUUGGAAAGUUUUUUUCGGUGUAGGAUGAGCUCGCGGCCUAUCAGCUUGUUGGUGGGGUAAUGGCCUACCAAGGCGGCGACGGGUAGCCGGCCUGAGAGGGUGGACGGCAACAUUGGGACUGAGAUACGGCCCAGACUCCUACGGGAGGCAGCAGUGGGGAAUAUUGCACAAUGGGCGCAAGCCUGAUGCAGCGACGCCGCGUGGGGGAUGACGGCCUUCGGGUUGUAAACGCCUUUCGCUAGGGACGAAGCUUUUUGUGACGGUACCUAGAGAAGAAGCACCGGCUAACUACGUG
rnacentral:rRNA from 1 species